rnacentral:rRNA from 1 species
GAUGAACGCUGGCGGCGUGCCUAACACAUGCAAGUCGAACGGAACUUCUUUAAAGGAUUUCUUCGGAAUGAAUUUGAUUAAGUUUAGUGGCGGACGGGUGAGUAACGCGUGAGUAACCUGCCUCUGAGAGGGGAAUAACAUUCUGAAAAGAAUGCUAAUACCGCAUAACAUAUAUUUAUCGCAUGGUAGAUAUAUCAAAGAUUUAUCGCUUAGAGAUGGACUCGCGUCCGAUUAGUUAGUUGGUGAGGUAACGGCUCACCAAGACUGCGAUCGGUAGCCGGACUGAGAGGUUGAACGGCCACAUUGGGACUGAGACACGGCCCAGACUCCUACGGGAGCAGCAGUGGGGAUAUUGCGCAAUCCCCGGGGGAAACUGACGCAGCGACGCCGCGUGAAGGAUGAAGGUCUUCGGAUUGGUAAACUUCUUUUAUUAAGGACGAAGAAAGUGACGGUACUUAAUGAAUAAGCUCCGGCUAACUACGUG